rnacentral:rRNA from 1 species
AAGUCGUAACAAGGUUUCCGUAGGUGAACCUGCGGAAGGAUCAUUACAAAUCAUAAGCCGCAAGGCCGAUAUGUUCGGUGCAGCAAUGCAUCGUUUCGCGCUUGUAUGUUUGACAGAGUAAUGUUGGAUACACAUAAAGAGACAACUUUUAACAAUGGAUCUCUUGGCUCUUGCAACGAUGAAGAACGCAGUAAAGUGCGAUAUAUAGUGCGAUUUGCAUGAAUCUGUGAGUCAUCUAGUCUUUGAACGCAACUUGCGCCUCUUUGAGGCAUGUCUGUUUGAGUACCGCAUACCAAAUGCAGCAAUGCAACUUGGUCAGAUUAAUAAUUUGACUAAAACGUAGCCAGAUAAGGAGUAUUGUCUUUUCCUUGAUGAGUUAGGACGCAAGUCUUUCAUCAACAGGAUUACUUCAGCUCCCAUCAAACUUAGUAAAUUGGUCUCAAAUCAGGCAAGACUACCCGCUGAACUUAAGCAUAUCAGUAAGCGGAGGAAAAGAAACUAACAAGGAUUCCCUCAGUAACGGCGAGUGAAGCGGGAAAAGCUCAAAGUUAAAAUCUCGGCUCUUUGGGCCGCGAAUUGUAGACUAAAGAAGGUAAUCAAGAAAGGAUGGCUGACCAAGUUCAUUGGAAUAUGGCACCAGAGAGGGUGAGAGUCCCGUCAAGUCAGCCGGAAUUUUAAUACGAGAACCUUUCAACGAGUCGAGUUGCUUGGGAAUGCAGCUCGAAGUGGGUGGUAAAUCUCAUCUAAGGCUAAAUAUUGGCAAGAGACCGAUAGCGAACAAGUACCGUGAGGGAAAGAUGAAAAGCACCUUGAAAAGGGAGUUAAAUAGUACGUGAAAUUGUUAAAAGGGAAACGAUCGAGAUCAGUAUUGAGAUUGAGUUCAAUACAAGGCUUGGCCUUGUAAGCGACUUGACCUCGAGUCAAUGCCAGUUGUGAGGGAGAUAAACGUAGUCUCGGAAGGUGGGGAAGCUUCUGCUUUUCUUUAUAGCCUUGACUAAAUAUUUCAAUUGCGACCGGAAAGAUAGGGAACGUUAGGGACGAGUGAUUAAAGCUUGGUUCUAGACAGCUUGCUGACUAGUUCCCCGUUCUAAGCACAACUCUUUACCCGACUUUAUCGCUUUUGACGAAAUGGUCUUGAACGACC